rnacentral:rRNA from 1 species
CAGUCGCCACGGUAACACGUAGGGUGCAAGCGUUAAUCGGAAUUACUGGGCGUAAAGCGUGCGCAGGCGGUUAUAUAAGACAGAUGUGAAAUCCCCGGGCUCAACCUGGGAACUGCAUUUGUGACUGUAUAGCUAGAGUACGGCAGAGGGGGAUGGAAUUCCGCGUGUAGCAGUGAAAUGCGUAGAUAUGCGGAGGAACACCGAUGGCGAAGGCAAUCCCCUGGGCCUGUACUGACGCUCAUGCACGAAAGCGUGGGGAGCAAACAGGAUUAGAUACCCGUGUAGUCCCUGUCUCUUAUAC